AACACCACAGAAAGAGAAGAGAGCAGCCCCUUUUGCUUCUUCCUUCUUCUCUCUGUAUUCUUCCAUCUAUUGCUGCCCCUUAGUAAUCAUGAGUCCUUGUGCCAUCAUUACUAUGAAAAGCUUCUCUCUCUCUCUCUCUCUCCUCUCCCUCUUUUUCUCUUUCUCAUUUUCAGAUACAAACACAAUAUCCCAGCUAUAUAACACCUGUUUUCUCUCCCUGGUUGGAGCACACAAGAUAACUCAACCCCUCUCUUUGAUCUCAAAAGGGAAGAAAACCCUCUUUCUUUCUCUCGAUCUUAAAACAUGUGCAUGAUCUCUUCAGAGUCGAUCCCAAGCCGUUCCCUGUAUUCCUUCUACCGGAAACGUCCUUCCAAGCGUCAUAACGUUCUUGUUCGAAGACUCAACAGGUGGAGAAGGUUGAGGAAGGGAGCGGGAACAAAGAAGGUGGUCGUCGGCGUUCAAACAGAUAUGCAAAUGAAGAACUUGAAACUGUACAUGCAGAACCAAAUCAUCAUAGAAGAGAAUGAGAGGCUGAGGAAGAAAGCUAUUCUCCUCCACCAGGAGAACCAAACCCUGUUGGCUCAGCUACAGAAGAAGCUCUCCAAUCCCCAAAAUUCCUCCUAAAAGCAGGAAACAACCCGCUGGCUCGCACUAGUAAAUACUGUAAUACUAGUAGUAUAACACUAUGUGCUGAUGGAGAGAAUAUAGGAAGAAGAAUGAUGGACUACUUAACCGGGGAAAGUGUUAGAUAUCUCAAAUCUCGUUCAUUUCUUUUUUGGACUUGGUUUCAUUCCUCUAAAUUAAGUUUGUUUUUUGAUAGAUUCGGGUUGGAAAUAAGUUACCAAUAUGAACAUAGAAGAAGUUUAAUGUAAGAGUUUAGCAGCUGCAUGUAGUUUUCUUGCAUGUUCUUUCUGUUGGGGUCUUGAAUGAAUUGUUUUAGCUAAGAAAACUAAUAUUCUUGGCCGAUCUGAAACUUAUCAAACAGCCUUUUGAUUAAAUAAAAAAAGGGUAUUUGUUUGAUUAUUAUUAAAGGUAAACCAGAGACAAAUACAUGAUCUGUAGCCCAAAAGUGUAGGCAAAUGGACAUGCACUUUUUGUUUCGAUUUUCCCUUGCUGCGUGCAUCCUUAGCUGAAGGGUAUACUUUCUUCCUAGAGUACCUUCAUUUACUAUUAUUAAGUAUAAUCUUGAAUUUAAGUCCUAAGUAUUAAUCAUCCAAUUAUAGGUAAUGAUCACUAAAAUCUAACUUAAUUGCGUGAUUAAUCACUUCUGUUGUAUAAUUCAGCACCAUUUUCAAGUAUCGCCUCUAACAGCCAAUAAUUAAAGCCAAAUCAUGCAGUCGGGAAUCGCAAUCAUCAUCUCAAGGUAACAAAAGUAACCCGAAAAGUGACUGUCUGACUGCAGGGCAUUCAGUAACAAAAGAUUAGAAUAAUGAAGCAAUGGUAACUUGUCGGCUCCAAGCCACCGAUAUGGAACCUCGGCUCACCAUGUUUGAUUGGGCCGGAUGCACCCUCUGACAACGCACUCAUAACUAAAAUUAAGAACAGGGACCAGGGCUUCAAGCUGACCAUCAUAAUCCUAGAGACAUGAUUAGCUAGUUGUCCCAAUGAUAACCUUUCAAUUGCGAUGUAACUCAAGAACACCCACGGCUACUUCCAUGUGGUUUUUCCCAUUGUUUCCUCUAAUGUUUGGUAACUGCCAUUCGAGGAAAUAAACGGAAAAGGCUAUAAACA